GGGGUUGUGGCUCAGAGGUAGAGUGCUUGCCUAGCAUGCAUGAGGUACUGGGUUCUAUUCUCAGCACCA
rfam:Ictidomys tridecemlineatus contig124330, whole genome shotgun sequence.